rnacentral:piRNA from 1 species
UAAAAGAUGAGGUCCAUGGUGAAUUACUGUU